CCGUCUACUCCCACUCCACUACGGUUUGCACCCUGACGGCUGACGGCUGACAGCAUGGUUAACUGAGGUUAUCUUUGCAAUUGUCAAGUUUGUUUCAUCAUAACCCGGUUUGAAUAUUGGACAGGAAAUAGAAUAGAAUAGAGUGUGAAUUUUUUCUAAAAAAAAGUAAAAGGAGAAAAUGGUUAAUACGAAGGAGGAUGAAACGACCGUGAUGGCAGAGAAUGGCCCGCAAAAAACAGCCAAACAGUUGCAAAAGGAGGCCAAGAAGCUGGCUAAAUUGGAGAAGUUUAAACAGAAGCAGGAGAAAAAGGGUACUGAGAAAUCAGCGAGUGUGAAAGAGAAACCGGAGAAAAAUGAUAAGAAGGAGACGAUAUCGUAUACCAUCGAUACUCCACUUGGAGAAAAGAAAAAUGUAACGUGCCCAAUGCCGGAUACGUAUAGUCCGCAAUACGUAGAAGCUGCAUGGUACGCUUGGUGGGAAAAGGAAGGCUUUUUUAAACCAGAAUAUGGGAGAAAAGAUGUACUAGAGGAAAAUCCAAACGGAAAAUUUGUAAUGGUAAUACCACCACCUAAUGUAACCGGUUUCUUACAUCUUGGACAUGCUUUGACUAAUGCUAUAGAAGAUGCUAUUACGAGAUGGAAUCGUAUGAAAGGCCGUACGACACUUUGGAAUCCAGGUUGUGAUCAUGCAGGCAUUGCUACUCAAGUGGUAGUAGAAAAAAAGCUAUGGAAGGAAGAAAAGAAAUCUCGUCAUGAUAUUGGCAGGGAAGAAUUUAUUAAGAGAAUAUGGCAGUGGAAACAUGAGAAAGGCGAUCGAAUUUAUUCGCAAUUAAGGAAAAUCGGUGGUUCUUUCGAUUGGAGUCGUGCUUGUUUUACGAUGGAUCCUAAAUUAUGUAAAGCAGUAACAGAGGCAUUUGUACGUUUGCACGAUGAAGGUAUCAUUUAUCGCAGCAAUCGUUUAGUUAAUUGGUCGUGCACUUUAAAAAGUGCAAUAUCAGAUAUUGAAGUCAAUAAAGUGGAAUUGAAUGGGCGCACUCUACUUUCUAUACCCGGUUACGAAAAGAAAGUAGAAUUUGGUGUUUUGGUGUCUUUUGCUUAUCAGCUUCUCGAUUCGGACGACAAAAUAAUCGUGGCAACAACUCGUAUUGAAACUAUGCUGGGAGAUACCGCUGUCGCGGUGCAUCCGAAAGACAGUAGAUACGUGCAGUACAUUGGAAAGUAUGUGCGGCAUCCGUUUUGCGACAGGCAUAUACCCGUCAUAGCGGAUGAGUUUGUCGACAUGGAAUUUGGUACUGGUGCUGUAAAGAUUACACCGGCUCAUGAUCCAAAUGACUAUGAAGUUGGAAAAAGGCAUAAUCUACCAUUCAUCAAUAUUUUUGACGAUGAUGGUAAUGUCGUUGGAGACUACGGAGAAUUUACGGGAAUGAAAAGAUUUGAUGCCAGAGUGGCCAUCAUUAAAGAAAUGACGAAAAGGAAUUUAUUAAUCGAUAUAAAAGACAAUCCAAUGAUAAUACCUAUAUGUAGUCGAUCGAAAGAUGUCGUAGAACCUCUUGUGAAGCCACAAUGGUAUGUUAAGUGUAACGAAAUGGCUGCUCAAGCUAGAGAAGCAGUGAGCACGGGUGCGCUGAAAAUAAUUCCAGAACAAUUUAAGAAAACUUGGUACAUCUGGAUGGACGGUAUCAGAGAUUGGUGCAUUUCGCGUCAGCUCUGGUGGGGUCAUCGCAUUCCUGCCUAUGCAAUCAAGUUUACUAAUUCUAAUGUGAAUACGAAAAAGAUAGACGAAUAUUGGGUGAGUGCGCAUUCCGAAGCUGAGGCUAGAAAGAAAGCGGCUAAGAAAUUGGGCGUUAAUGUAAACAACAUUAUUGCGGAGCAAGAUCCCGAUGUAUUAGACACUUGGUUCUCGUCUGCUCUCUUUCCUUUCUCCGUUUUUGGUUGGCCAGAUGAGGCUCCUGAACUCCGAGCGUUUUAUCCGGGCACGCUAUUAGAAACUGGUCAUGAUAUACUUUUCUUUUGGGUUGCCAGGAUGGUUUUUAUGGGCCAGAAAUUAUUGGGACAAUUACCUUUUAAGGAAGUGUAUUUGCAUGCGAUGGUAAGAGAUGCACAUGGAAGAAAAAUGAGUAAGUCUUUGGGAAAUGUAAUAGAUCCUAUGGACGUAAUUAAAGGAAUCUCUUUAGAAGAUCUUCAAAAACAAUUAUUAGACUCAAAUCUGGAUCCGAAGGAACUGGAACGAGCUCAAGAAGGUCAAAAGCGCGAUUAUCCGCAAGGUAUUCCUGAAUGUGGGACGGAUGCUCUGCGAUUCGCACUCUGCGCUUAUACUACUCAAGGACGAGACAUAAAUCUCGAUAUACUUCGCGUACAAGGAUACAGAUUUUUUUGCAACAAGAUAUGGAACGCUACAAAAUUCGCACUCAUUUAUCUUGGAUCUCAAUUUAUAUACGACACUAAUGAUACGAAACAUAAUAACACUAAUUGUAAGGAUAUGGUUGGAGACGGCAAGUGGUACCAGUGCACUUUGAAUGAAUCGUGUGUGCAGGAAGCUCUAAAUAAUUAUCUGGCGGAUUAUCCAUAUCUUGACGGAUAUACACCUUCACAACUUGACUCAUCAGUUCAUCGAUCGUUAAAGGAGUUAAACAUCGAUUUUGCAAGAUGUUUGCAUAUUAAACGUUGGUACGAUCACAUCGCAACGUUUACAGAUGGAGAAAAAGCUGCGUUUCGUGCGGAACAAAAUAAAAUAAAACCGAAACUUGCAUACAUCAACGAGCAUCAUUGUAAUAACGAUACAUUUGAGCUGACUGGGAAUGAGACAAAUAUAGAUUUGUGGAUGUUGUCGCGAGUUAGUUACGCUGCCGCAACUUGCGAUGAAGCGAUAAAGCAGUAUGACUUUGCAUUAGCUACUUCUACCUGUUACAAUUUAUGGUUGUAUGAUCUGUGUGAUAUUUAUCUAGAAUAUCUUAAGCCAGUAUUCCAAAGUGAAGAUAACAUGGCUAAGUUUACGGCUCAGAAAGUAUUAUUUAUAACGCUGGACGUAGGAUUGCGUUUAUUGAGCCCGUUUAUGCCAUUUAUAACAGAAGAACUUUAUCAACGUUUACCUCGUAAGAAGCUAAUAUAUCCAAGUAUUUGUGUAAGUCCGUAUCCAGACAGUGCCAAGUGUCAUUGGAGGAAUCAAGAGAUUGAAAAAGACGUUGACUUUGCACAAAAAAUAAUUAAGAAUGUUCGAUCUGCCCGCGCGACUUACAAUCUGCCUAAUAAAACAAAAACCGAAGCGUAUGUCGCGUGUACUGAUCCAGCUUUAAAGGAGAAGAUUAUUCAAUAUAAAUUGCUCAUAGAAACUCUUGCAUACUCUACACUUAGCAUGGCGAAACCACCGAUAGGAUGUGCUAUUGUCACUGUAACCGACAAAGUCCAAGUGCAUCUAUUACUGAAGGGUUUGAUCGAUCCAAAAAAAGAGAUGGAAAAGCUGCAAAAGAAAGAGGUCCAAUUGAUCGAGAGUAUACAAAAAUUGAAACAGGAUUUAGCUGUACCAGAUUAUGAUGUAAAGGUGCCUGUUGACGUUCAAAAGAAUAACAAAGAAAAAUUAGCGAAUAAUGAAGGUGAAUUGCAGCGAAUUAUCGAUGCAGUGAUGGUCUUACAAACAAUGUAGAAAGUAAAUUUGUAGAAAAUUUUGUAAACCCCGAUAUUAUUCUCAUAUAAGUUAUUUAACAGAAUUGAAUCUGGGGUCCUUGAGCAUAAGAGUCGACGUCCUAACACUAUGCUACGCCGCUGACUUGACAAUCGUUUUUCUGUAACAGUACUACAGUUGCUGGAAAUAUUUAAUCGUCAUUUUCUCGAGAAUGCCUAAUUUUCGCAAUUAUGGCUUUACUGUAGUAAAUGUGUGAGUGAAUACUACACAUCCAUAAAAUUUUAUAAAAUUGAUAUAUUGGUCAAGAACUCUCUUUGUAAGUAGCUAACAUAUCUCUUUAAUUUUUUAAUAAAAAGAUUACAUUUUAUUAUAGAAACUACAUAUAAAAUAUUAGUACAAAUCCCGAUUUGAUACCUUUAAUACGCUCGGAGAAAAAAUUCAUGAAUAUAGUUUAUUUUAUUCAUUGAUAUAAGCUGUAUGACUGCUUUUGGUACUUCUAGGUGUAACCUCUUAAGUUAAUAUUAAGAUAGAUAUUAGUUUAAUGUAGAGUAUGAUUAUAUAUAAAUGUAACCCCAAAGGGAUCAUUAAAUAUAUAACUACGUCAUAAUAUUAAAAAAUAUAAAAAAUGACGAUGAAAAUAACUGUUAAAUUCGUCACUGUUACUGAAAAAAUGUGGCUAUGUUAUAGUCGUUACCGAUACAAGAAACACAUAACACUGUUACUAGUGUGUUAUAAAAAAAGUAGCUGUAAUGAUAACGACGUAAUAAGUAAUACGUUACUUUCAUAGAUACUGUAGAGACUCGUGAGUCAAGGAUUUUUAUAAAUAAUUAUGAAUUAUUAUUAUAUUAUAGAUAUAUAUUAUUCUGAAA